rnacentral:rRNA from 1 species
CCUACGGUGAGCAGCAGUGAGGAAUAUUGGUCAAUGGACGCAAGUCUGAACCAGCCAUGCCGCGUGCAGGAAGACGGCUCUAUGAGUUGUAAACUGCUUUUGUACGAGGGUAAACGCAGAUACGCGUAUCUGUCUGAAAGUAUCGUACGAAUAAGGAUCGGAUAACUCCGUGCCCGCAGCCUCGGUAAUACGGAGGAUUCAAGCGUUAUCCGGAUUUAUUGUGUUUAAAGGGUGCGUAGGCGGGCGGAUAAGUUAGAGGUGAAAUCCCGAGGCUCAACUUCGGAAUUGCCUCUGAUACUGUUCGGCUAGAGUGUAGUUGCGGUAGGCGGAAUGUAUGGUGUAGCGGUGAAAUGCUUAGAGAUCAUACAGAACACCGAUUGCGAAGGCAGCUUACCAGGCUACUUCUGACGUUGAGGCACGAAAGCGUGGGGAGCAAACAGGAUUAGAUACCCUGGUAGUC